ACGCUGGCGGCAGGCCUAACACAUGCAAGUCGAGCGGAAACGAGUUAUCUGAACCUUCGGGGAACGAUAAUGGCGUCGAGCGGCGGACGGGUGAGUAAUGCCUAGGAAAUUGCCCUGAUGUGGGGGAUAACCAUUGGAAACGAUGGCUAAUACCGCAUGAUGCCUACGGGCCAAAGAGGGGGACCUUCGGGCCUCUCGCGUCAGGAUAUGCCUAGGUGGGAUUAGCUAGUUGGUGAGGUAAGGGCUCACCAAGGCGACGAUCCCUAGCUGGUCUGAGAGGAUGAUCAGCCACACUGGAACUGAGACACGGUCCAGACUCCUACGGGAGGCAGCAGUGGGGAAUAUUGCACAAUGGGCGCAAGCCUGAUGCAGCCAUGCCGCGUGUAUGAAGAAGGCCUUCGGGUCGUAAAGUACUUUCAGUCGUGAGGAAGGCGGCGUCGUUAAUAGCGGCGUUGUUUGACGUUAGCGACAGAAGAAGCACCGGCUAACUCCGUGCCAGCAGCCGCGGUAAUACGGAGGGUGCGAGCGUUAAUCGGAAUUACUGGGCGUAAAGCGCAUGCAGGUGGUUUGUUAAGUCAGAUGUGAAAGCCCGGGGCUCAACCUCGGAAUAGCAUUUGAAACUGGCAGACUAGAGUACUGUAGAGGGGGGUAGAAUUUCAGGUGUAGCGGUGAAAUGCGUAGAGAUCUGAAGGAAUACCGGUGGCGAAGGCGGCCCCCUGGACAGAUACUGACACUCAGAUGCGAAAGCGUGG
rnacentral:rRNA from 1 species